CUUUUAGCCUGGUAAAAACUGAUUGUUUCUCACAGAUGUUCUCCAAGCACUCAGGGAUCUGAUGCAGCAGGAGCUGGACGAGGCUGGUCUGGAUUCCAGCUCUGUGCUCUUCACUCAGCACGAAGUGGCCAAUUUGCUGGAUACUUCAGCUUUUCACUCCCCGACCUUUGACUCUCUCAAUUGCAAUGGCAGCGAGGACCUGGAGCAGCUGCAGCUGGAGAUGAGGGAUCUGCGGCACGAAGUCCGCAGGCUGAAGGUGGAGCCUCCUCUCAGAGCAGAUUUCUUGGCUGGGGUGUUCUGCUGUAGCUCUCUGUGGGGGUAAUGGGGUGGCCUGUCCCUCUGGAGAAGUCACCAGUUUGCAUUCUGUGCAUUCCUCGUCGCACAGGAGCCUCUCACCCUCCACUCUCCUUAAUUGCCUCUUUCUUUCUCUUAACCUCAAAGGAAAACUUAUUGGUACUCAAGCAUGCAGUCCCUUCUCAGCAGGGAGUUAAUAUAUUUAAAAAGCAGGUCUCAUUAAGAAUUCCAGUGUGUGAUUAACAGAAGCAGCACCUGUCCUCUCACCCGUACCUGGCUGUGAGCACCUCGGCUGUGUCCAGGUGGAAUUCUGCAGGUCACAGCUCU
rnacentral:lncRNA from 1 species